CAGGCAGCAAGAAGGAGAACAGAAUGGUCACCUCUGCUGGCACAGGGUCCCUGUCUAGAAAGCAGGUAGGAACCAUUCUGGAGCUGGGCAUAACUAUAGGUGAGAAGGCACAAGAGACUACAGAUGCUGGAAUUUGGAGCAACACACAUAAAGCUGGAGGAACUCAGUGGGCCAGGCAGCAUCUGUGGAGGGAAAUGGACAGUCAACGUUUCAAGUCGAGACACUGCAUCUGGACUGAAAGAUAGACGGGAGAUGGCAGAAAACGCAAGAGUCACAGGACUCCAUCAUGGAAACCUAUUGUCCAAUUAUGCUGUGCUUUAAUCCAUGGGACAAAACCAAAUGACUCCAUGGAUCAAAUCAUU